ACGUUCCCGCGGUACAGCUUGACGUCGGACUUAAAUAUGUGUCGGACCACCAUACCCUACGAAUAGCUCAUACUGUAAAGCCAAUAUAAGACUAUUUCGCUGGUGCAGCGGGUUCGUUUGAGAGUUUGUGUGCUGAUAUAAUGAAAACAGUUACAUUAUCUGAGAGAAGUUGAUAAUUUCCUGAAAAGAUGUUUGUCAGACCGUUUCGUGUCAAAUCCAACACCGCAAUCAAAGGAUCAGACAGGAGAAAGCUCAAAGCUGACAUAUCUGGAGCCUUUCCUACGCUGUCUGCUGACGAGCUGUCUGAACUGGUCCCCAACAAAGAGGAAUUAAAUGUGGUGAAGAUUUAUGUACAUAAGGGAGAUUCUGUGACACUUUAUGUUCUUCACAAAAAUCCACUGUUCUUUGAAUUGGAGAAACGACUUUAUCCUACAGUAUAUGUGCUUUGGCGCUACCCUGCUAUCCUGCCGACAUUUAGGACAUGGCCUCCUGUGCUUCAAAAGUUGAUUGGAGGGGCAGAUCUCAUGCUGCCAGGUGUGGUGGCGCCUUCAAGCGGUCUCCCAGAUGUGAAACCGGGCGACUGCUGUUCUGUUACAUUAGUGAACAAUAGAGCUCCUGUUGCAGUUGGUACUGCUGCAGUGUCCAGAGACGAGAUGCACAGUUUGGGUAUGAAAGGGAGAGGAGUGUGUGUUCUCCACGCGUACAUGGAUAAUCUCUGGGCUUUUGGAGACAAGUCAGGUCCUCCUACUUUACCGGAUGCAGAGAGUGAAGGACAAGGGGUGAAUGGAGAGGAAUAUGAGGUUGAUGAGAUGGAGGAGGAGGUUGAGGAGGAGGCUGAGAAGUGUGUGGAGGAGGAGCAGAGUCCCAGUCAAACAGUCACAGAUCAAGCCUGCUCUGGUAUUGAGGAGCUGAGUCUGGCUGAGCAGGAGGAAGAGAAAGGUGAUAAGGGCAAUGAGGAAGAGGAGGGAAACCAGGAUGACCAGAAAAUGCCACAAGAGAUAAUGGACGCCUUGCUGUUGCAGUGUUUUCUCUAUGCUCUCAAGAGCAAAGUGAAAAAGACGGAUCUCCCCCUGCUGACCAGUACAUUUCUCCGCAACCACAUGUUUGCCUGCUGCCCAAGUGGAAAGCAACUUGAUAUCAAGAAAUCCAGCUAUAAAAAGCUGUCCAAGUUUCUACAGGCCAUGCAGAAGCAGCACAACCUUGUGCGAGUGAAAGAACUGACCAAGGGUGUGGAGAGCAUUGUGGAGGUGGACUGGAAAAAUUCAGAACUGCGUUCCUUCAAAGUUCCAGAGGAGACGGAUGUUGAAGCAACUCCGGUGCAGGAUGGAAGGGAAGGAGAACCUCCGUACCACCCCCCUGAGAUCACAACUCUGUACUCUGUGUCAGCUCGACUGGAGCCUCUCUUUCUAGAUGCAAAGAAGAGGAAAGGAACAAUACUGCAGUCUGCUGAAGUGAGACAUAUUGUCACAGAAUAUGUGAAGAAGAAUGAACUGGUGGAUGAAAAUAAUAAGAAUUACGUGACCAUAAACCCUACUCUGUGUGACUGUUUGCUGGAGAAAUCAGAGUACCAGGAGGUCGAGUCUCUCAAGUGGGAUGACCUCUUUAGCAGGUCAUUGGAACGAAUGCAGGAGUGCUAUCAAGUUGUGUUCCCCGGACAAGCACCCGUAAAGAAGAAGGGCCACAUUGAGCCUAUAGACAUCUCUGUGGCUUCUCGAGGCUCCAAUAAGAAGGUGACACUAAUAAAGAACCUGGAAGUGUACGGUUUGGAUCCUGCAGUCGUUGCCACUGCUUUGCAGCGUAGAGUCCAGGCCAGCUCUGUCUUACAGCCCAUCCCUGGGUCCAAGGACAAAGUGCUUGUCCAGAUCCAAGGCAAUCAGAUUCAUCAAGUUGGCAAUUUGCUACUAGAUCAUUAUCAAAUUCCUCGCAAGUACAUCCAAGGACUAGACAAAGCUCCAAAAGGGGGAAAGAAGAAGUAACAUUUCAACCUUUAAAGCUGUUUUACUGUCGGCCAUUCAUAAUAAAUACAGACAGCCGGCAGUGGAGAGAUGACAGGAAAUGAGGGGAGUGAAAGACGAGGAAUGACAUGUAGAAGGUCCCCAGCUGGACGCUGCAGGGGCAUUGUUGCAGGUCUGAGCUUUAACUCCAGGGUCAGUAGAGCACUUCCAUACAGCAAUUCUUAACCUGUAUUUCCACGUUUGCACCUGGAAGCUCCACUGGAACAGAUGAGGAGGAAGGUCAGGGCAAGUGUCUCUCUUCCCCUAGCCCCUUUUAUAUCAUGUUAGUCGCUGUAGAUUGUAAUUAAUUUUAUUAAAGCAGAUACCUUAAAGUCCACAUAAAUGGUUCUCAUUCAACACAUUAACUAGUAUAUUUCAAGAUAUGUAGUUUGUUUGUUCAAAACACUGCAGUAAAUAAAGAAACAUGGAUACAAUAGAAAAUAAA